rnacentral:rRNA from 1 species
ACUGAGUGGCGGACGGGUGAGUAACGCGUGGGUAACCUGCCUUAUACAGGGGGAUAACAGUUGGAAACGACUGCUAAUACCGCAUAAGCGCACGGUAUCGCAUGAUACAGUGUGAAAAACUCCGGUGGUAUGAGAUGGACCCGCGUUGGAUUAGCUGGUUGGUGAGGUAACGGCCCACCAAGGCGACGAUCCAUAGCCGGCCUGAGAGGGUGAACGGCCACAUUGGGACUGAGACACGGCCCAGACUCC